CAGGAGGAUACCAUGAGAAGAUGGCUUUCUGCAAACCAGAAGGUGGGCUUUCACCAGACACUGAGUCUGCUUGCACCUUGAUCUCAGACUUCUCAGCUUCUGGAACUCAACCCACCACCUGAUGAGCUGCCCAUUGGAGAGGCCAAUAUGACAAAGGGCUGAGGGUAGCCUAUCUCCAGCAACCUAAAAGAAGUUGAGCCUUCAGUUCAAGAGCCCAGGAGAAAUCAUAUCUUGCCAGCAGUCAUGCUGCCCAGUGCUUUGGAUGACGCUGAGCAGAGUCCCUGGUCGCCGCUGGAUGCAGUCAUUUCUCCUCGUCAUUGCAAUCAGAAAAUGUCUCCAGACAUUGCCCACUGAUCUCCGGGGGCCAAAAUCAUCCCUGAUGGAGAACCACUGCUCUAAAACCAACCAAACAAAAGUUGGUAAAGAAAUCUGGGAACCUG